rnacentral:lncRNA from 1 species
UACGCCCCACUCUGAGAAACAAUUUCUCACAUUGAAAAACACUAGUGUUUUGUCACACAAAAUAAAUGUCUUUUUAUGGUUGGUGUGAAGAUGAGGAUGAGAUCAAGUUCAAAUCAAAUUUGAGCUUGAAUUUAAACUGAGAUAAGGAUCAUGAUCCAAGUUCAAUUCAAAUCCAAUUUGAAUUUAACUUGAAUCAAAUUUUAUCCUCAUCCAAGUGGUGUUGAGA